GGGGCCAGAUUGUGAUAGUCAUGAGCCAGAGUAAGCUUGGUGCUACUUCUUUGUUCUCUUUGUUCUCUUUAUUCUCUUUGUUUUCUUUGUAGUUGAAGAGUAAUAGAUAGUUUUUGAAUACUGUGAAGUAAUACUGUGGAAUAAAUCAGAGAUUGAUUUAUGAGAUAUUGAAUAUGUAAUUGGAGUAUUGUGUGAUUGAAUUAUUAUGAAAAAAUAUUAAAUUUUUUUUGUCACAUUGUGAGGAAGAUUGAUUGUCAAUGAAAGGUUAUAAUUGUUGUUAAUUAAGAGUUGUGUGUGUUUUGACAGAAGAAGUCUAUGAUUACAGAAAUUGUG
rnacentral:lncRNA from 1 species